ACUGAGGAAGACGACAGCGAGAUAUCAGACAUUUAUUAAAGACAGUGAACUCAUGAUGCCGACGAUUCACUGUGACUCUGCAACCGACGUGCACCUGAUGGAUGAACUGACUUCACAUCAGCCAUUCAUGAUGACCGGGUGCUUCAUGUCCAUUAUGUAACCACGGGUGGAGAAAAGGUUUAAAACUAACACCCAACAUGGCAGUUAACAUAGAAACCUACUUAAAUAAGUGAAGAAUAUCAUCAGGCAUUGGAUGCUCCUCACCAUUUCCAGGCAACAAGGCUUAUUGGGUCCAAGUCACGCUCUGCAGCAAUCCAAGCCUGUGGCUCAGCCAGCAUGCAUUACAGUCAGUCCCUCUGUCUGUCCGUCCCUCUCUCUCUCUCUCUCUCUCUCUCUCUACACACCAAUACAAACACAGCCUAGUGGAGGUUGGCACAGUCCGCCACAUUUUCUGGAGGGCGACCAAAGUGAGUCCAGGAAGGGCUGAGUGCGGCCAGUGAACCCGUAUGCCUCUAUUCAGUAAAUCGCAUUACAUAAUUAAACGCUUUAAACUUUUCCAUAGAUUCAGCACUUUUUGACCAGCCUUUGAGGAGCUCAAUAUUUAAUGACCUGAAAUAUGAAAACUGAAGUUGCUCGUCUUAAGCUUAAUCUCCUGUUUAACGGGUUUCAUUAUAUUAUUGUCAUAGAGUGCUAAAGUGUGUCGUCACGUUUCCAUAGCAACCGAUUUUCGGUUCUACACAAACCAAAUUAACAAGAGGAAAUCCUAUGCCGCACGAAUGUUUUAUACAAAAGGAACGUUUUUUUUGCGAAUUGAUUUGCGAGUUUGCUUUACCAAUGAUAACCCGUAUUGGAGCGAUUCUGCUGCUGCCAUUUUCCCCAUGUUAUCAGCCAUCAGAGAGACAUCCAAUCAGGGAGACAUCUCAUCAGAGAGGGAGACAUCUCAUCAGAGAGGGAGACAUCUCAUCAGAGAGGGAGUCAUCUCAUCAGAGAGGGAGACAUCUCAUCACAGAGACAUUCUCAGAUUCCGGAGACAGCCACAUGGAAAGUAACCACACUGAUUACUCAUCAUAAUAUAGUCAAUGUUUUUUCUUCAGAUAUAAACUUCUAUAAAAUAGUUUUUGAAUCGUCACUUGAUAAAUGAAAUGAAAAUCAAUAAAUGUUCUGAUGCAUUGUU